ensembl:lncRNA
UUCCAUUCUUUAUAAUCUUGUCUUUGAAGACCCCCCCCAUUCUUUAUAAUCUUGUCUGUUUAAUCUCAGUUUUUCAUUGGCAGUGUUUGGGGAUAUUUUGGAUGGCACAUCCACACCUGUGAGUGCAGACCAACAAAACAAAGAGGGCCAGAAAUCUGCUCCCAAAUCAACCCACAAGGCCAAGGAACGAGAAAAUGACAAAGAGAAAAUAAAAAUAACAUCUAAGUCAAGCUCCAAUAUCAGCCUCAUCUGAAGGAUGAAGUGUUAAAGGAGGAGCAGAGGAGGGAACGCUCUGAGAACUUCCAAAGUUUCCAAAGCCUGAUCUGGGACAAUAUUCUGGAACAGCGUAAACAGGAAAAAAGUGCACGUAAGGAAAUGAUGAAACGACAGUUGGGGACAUACAUUGGCUUUCAGGACACAAUGGAUGCAUAUCGGCAAAAGAUGCUGCAGGCUCGUGAGGCAUUCUGUUCCCACAUCCUAAAGGAGCAGUCACAUAAGAAUAUGGAAGAUACUCCUUUGGAAACAGUCAAACAGGUUGAGCAUGAGAAAAUCCCUACUGUGGUCCAAUCAAGUGGAUGUAAGAGUGGGGGCAAGAGGACGUGAUCUGAACACCCAAAACUUUAUAGCAAUAAAAUAGUCAGUCACUCAGUCUAAUAUUGCUCU